rnacentral:rRNA from 1 species
GCUCUCCCAUAUGGUCGACCUGCAGGCGGCCGCGAAUUCACUAGUGAUUCGUAUUACCGCGGCUGCUGGCACGUAGUUAGCCGAGGCUUCUUCUGGAGGUACCGUCAAUCCACACGGCUAUUCACCGGUGAACCUUCGUCCCUCCUGAAAGAGGUUUACAACCCGAAGGCCGUCAUCCCUCACGCGGCGUCGCUGCAUCAGGCUUGCGCCCAUUGUGCAAUAUUCCCCACUGCUGCCUCCCGUAGGAGUCUGGGCCGUGUCUCAGUCCCAGUGUGGCCGGUCGCCCUCUCAGGCCGGCUACCCGUCGACGCCUUGGUAGGCCAUUACCCCACCAACAAGCUGAUAGGCCGCGAGCCCAUCCCCAGCCGCCAAAGGCUUUCCACCCCCCACGAUGCCACAGGAGACGAAUACCCGGUAUUAGCCCCCGUUUCCGAGGGUUAUCCCAAAGCUAAGGGCAGGUUACUCACGUGUUACUCACCCGUUCGCCGCUCGAGUACCCCCGAAAGGGCCUUUCCGCACGACUUGCAUGUGUUAAGCACGCCGCCAGCGUUCGUCCUGAGCCAUGAUCAAACUUAAUCGAAUUCCCGCGGCCGCCAUGGCGGCCGGGAGCAUGCGACGUCGG